AGGUGGUGGUAGCUCAGUUUUGGUGGCUUCUAGAGGAGCAGGAGGCAGUAGACGGAGCGACAGAAGAUUGUGAUGAGGAUGGUCCAAGUUCAGGAGGGACUUGAGCAAAGCCAGGUGUUACCGAUGUGAGGAGUUGGGGCAUCUAGCCAGAGAUUGCCCUCAACUCAAAAAUCGGACGGUGGCUGCCGUAGUGACGGUCGGU
rnacentral:lncRNA from 1 species